rnacentral:piRNA from 1 species
UCCGAGUCCGUAACGGCCUAGGCAUGGC